rnacentral:rRNA from 1 species
UACGAAGGGGGCUAGCGUUGUUCGGAAUUACUGGGCGUAAAGCGCGCGCAGGCGGUCUUCCAAGUCAGUGGUGAAAGCCCGGAGCUCAACUCCGGAAUUGCCAUUGAAACUGUUGGACUUGAGGAUGAGAGAGGUGAGUGGAAUUCCCAGUGUAGAGGUGAAAUGCGUUGAGAUCGGAAGGAACGCCCGUGGCGAAAGCGAGGUCCUGGACGCCAUCUGACGCUGAGACGCGAAAGCCAGGGGAGCGAACGGG